GAUGAACGCUGGCGGCGUGCUUAACACAUGCCAGUCGAACGGUGAAGGCGGAGCUUGCUCUGCUGGAUCAGUGGCGAACGGGUGAGUAACACGUGAGCAAUCUGCCCCUGACUCUGGGAUAAGCGCUGGAAACGGCGUCUAAUACUGGAUACGAGCUGCGAAGGCAUCUUCAGCAGCUGGAAAGAAUUUCGGUCAGGGAUGAGCUCGCGUCCUAUCAGCUUGUUGGUGAGGUAAUGGCUCACCAAGGCGUCGACGGGUAGCCGGCCUGCGCGGGUGACCGGCCCCGCUAGGACGGAGACACGGCCCAGACUCCUACGGGAGGCAGCAGUGGGGAAGAUUGCACAAUGGGCGAAAGCCUGAUGCAGCAACGCCGCGUGGGGGACGACGGCCCUCGGGUUGUAAACCUCUUUUAGCAGGGAAGAAGCGAAAGUGACGGUACCUGCAGAAAAAGCGCCGGCUAACUACGUG
rnacentral:rRNA from 1 species